rnacentral:rRNA from 1 species
GAUGAACGCUGGCGGCGUGCCUAAUACAUGCAAGUCGAGCGAACGGACGAGAAGCUUGCUUCUCUGAUGUUAGCGGCGGACGGGUGAGUAACACGUGGAUAACCUACCUAUAAGACUGGGAUAACUUCGGGAAACCGGAGCUAAUACCGGAUAAUAUUUUGAACCGCAUGGUUCAAAAGUGAAAGACGGUCUUGCUGUCACUUAUAGAUGGAUCCGCGCUGCAUUAGCUAGUUGGUAAGGUAACGGCUUACCAAGGCAACGAUGCAUAGCCGACCUGAGAGGGUGAUCGGCCACGCUGGAACUGAGACACGGUCCAGACUCCUACGGGAGGCAGCAGUAGGGAAUCUUCCGCAAUGGGCGAAAGCCUGACGGAGCAACGCCGCGUGAGUGAUGAAGGUCUUCGGAUCGUAAAACUCUGUUAUUAGGGAAGAACAUAUGCGUAAGUAACUGUGCACAUCUUGACGGUACCUAAUCAGAAAGCCACGGCUAACUACGUG